GCAUGUUAAAUGUGGAACCGACCAUCAGAUUAGAAACCAAAUUAUUCAAGCGAUUCCAAUAAAAAACAAUACCAUUGGAAUCAUAAUUUUUGAAACGAUUCCAAGUUGGAACCGGUUCUGGAUGCCCAGUCCUACCAUUUACCUAC